rnacentral:rRNA from 1 species
ACGCUCGACACCUACGGGGAGGCAGCAGUUGGGGAAUAUUGGACAAUGGAGGAAACUCUGAUCCAGUGACGCCGCGUGAAGGAAGAAGGUCUUCGGAUUGUAAACUUAUUUUGUCAGGGAAGAAAAAAUGACUGUACCUGAAGAAAAAGCACCGGCUAACUACGUGCCAGUAGCCGCGGUAAUCUGAGCGGGCUGGCAAGGC